CUGAGUUCACAGCACCUGCUGGGGCCUCGGGCAUGCUCUCUAGAGUGCUGCUUUCAGUGGUCUGACAGUUUAACCCGCUCCACUUCUUUUGUGACAAGUCAAGGGUCAGGAAGGUCAUGCCCAUCUGUGACUGUUCAAGAAUCUGUUAGGUCUAGACAAGAGAGUGACCUUCUUCCUCCUCCCUAUGGGCUUGGUGAAGAGAAAAAUAAUGAUUCCAAUCACCUGACUCCCACACAAGAAUCUUGCAGCUGUAAAAAAAACUAAACAGAUGCUUGUUAAAACAGGACUGUCAUACACAUCAGCCAUGGUAGAUCCUUGCCUGUGGGGACGUCUGCACUGUACCCGUAGCAUGCCUUACAUCACUC
rnacentral:lncRNA from 1 species